rnacentral:lncRNA from 1 species
AGUCAGCUGAGCAGCACCGAGCUCCUGCCAGUGGAAGUGCUGGUGGAAUUCGGUUCCGAUUUCAGCCCCGACUCUCUGCUCCUUCCUCGUGCCCCGUUCUGGCUGUCGGCAGCUCCUCAGCAUCACACCGUGGUCAGGAACAUCUCAAUUCAUUUUCAGACAUCCUCUUUUAGCUGUAGCCCUCUCUUUGUGUUCAAAAACCGCGCCCUCUCCCAGCGGGAUCACUUCUGUUUUAUGAGUUCAAAAUGCUGGGGAGUUGCAUCAUGAGCACGUCAGGCUUCUUCUGCACAGGCAGCAGUGAGGAAAGGCUGGGGAACCGUCUGCCCCCUCCCAGCAGCUCUGCAGGACGGCUCUGGGCUCGGGGAAAUCCAUCUUGGACCUGGCUGGGCUUGCUUAUGAAGUACAAUCUGUCUGAAGUAGCCACGAUGAGGAAGAGACCUCGCAGCAGAAGGGAUGUUACAGAUGAAGCAGCUGAUUAAAGCCUGUCCUGUACCUUCAGAAUGAUUUUUGUGGACAUGGGCUCCAUGGAACUCUGGUGAUCCC